rnacentral:rRNA from 1 species
GAUGAACGCUAGCGGCAGGCUUAACACAUGCAAGUCGAGGGGUAUGCCGAUUUAUCGGCAGAGACCGGCGCACGGGUGCGUAACGCGUAUGCAAUCUACCUUUCACAGAGGGAUAGCCCAGAGAAAUUUGGAUUAAUACCUCAUAGUAUAGCAGUUUCGCAUGAAACCACUAUUAAAGUUCCAACGGUGAAAGAUGAGCAUGCGUCCCAUUAGCUAGAUGGUAAGGUAACGGCUUACCAUGGCUACGAUGGGUAGGGGUCCUGAGAGGGAGAUCCCCCACACUGGUACUGAGACACGGACCAGACUCCUACGGGAGGCAGCAGUGAGGAAUAUUGGACAAUGGGCGCAAGCCUGAUCCAGCCAAUGCCGCCGUGCAGGAUGACGGUCCUAUGGAUUGUAAACUAGCUUUACUAC